rnacentral:rRNA from 1 species
UACGGGGGGGGCAAGCGUUGUUCGGAAUUACUGGGCGUAAAGGGCUCGUAGGCGGCCAACUAAGUCAUACGUGAAAUCCCUCGGCUUAACCGGGGAACUGCGUCUGAUACUGGAUGGCUUGAGUUCGGGAGAGGGAUGCGGAAUUCCAGGUGUAGCGGUGAAAUGCGCAGAUAUCAGGAGGAACACCGGUGGCGAAGGCGGAUCUCUGGGCCUUACCUGACGCUCAGGCACGAAAGCUAGGGGAGCGAACAGG